rnacentral:lncRNA from 1 species
CAGAGGCACAUAGAUUUCUGAGUUCAAAGUCAGCCUGGUCUACAGAGCUAGUUCCAGGACAUGCAGGGCUACACUAAGAAACCCUGUCUCAAACACUCUGGAGGUGGGGCUAGGGGUGAGCAUAAAAUGGCAAACAAGCCAGGGCAUCUCCUGACCAGUGACUGCUGUGUGAGGGGCCAGGGCAUCUCCUGACCAGUGACUGCUGUGUGAGGGGCCAGGGCAUCUCCUGACCAGUGACUGCUGUGUGAGGGGCCAGGGCAUCUCCUGACCAGUGACUGCUGUGUGAGGGGCCAGGGCAUCUCCUGACCAGUGACUGCUGUGUGAGGGGCCAGGGCAUCUCCUGACCAGUGACUGCUGUGUGAGGCCCACUCCACUGUGGGCAGUGCCAGAGGCUAGUGUUCCGAGUGCUCUAAGCAGGCAAAGCAGGCCAGUGAGCAGCAUUCCUUCUGGCCUCUAGGUUUCCAUCCUCUGUGAGCUCCUGCCUUGACUGUCCUCAGUUCAGGACAUGUAAGCCAAAUAAGAACCUUUUCCGCAGGUUGCUUUUGAUCAUUGUUUCAUCAUAGCAAUAGACACACACGUAUAGUUCAUCUCAGAAAUGAAUGGCACACUCCCAUACUUACAGCUCUGUGGUGGUUUCAAUGUGACUGUCCCCCAGAGGCUCAUAUAUUUGCAUGUACCUGAACCCUGGCUAGGAUGGUGUAGAAGCUUUUUCCAAGUCAGGUUAGUAAAAGCAGAAAGCAUCUGCUUCUUAAGACACAGGACAAUGACGCAAGGCUUGAGAGCACACUGACAGCAAGCACCAAUGAAAUUAAGUUGAGCUCCAGAGGCAUAACCUGAGACAUGAGGGCAGCAAAUAGCCUAACAAGGCAUUAUAAGGAUCUUAAAGCAGCUCACUGAUCUGCAAAGGAACACAGCAAGACCACCAAGCAAGGAGAGUAACACCUGAACAAGGCAUUAUAAAGAGAAAGAAACCUCAAGAGCCUUAGAAAUUCAGAACCAAAGAACACGAAUACAGGAACUAUGGACUUCCAGGGAGCGUCAACAGUGCACAUAGUCAAACAGAAGACCCUGCAAAGCUCUCAGCAGAUAUGGAAACUAUCUAUAUACUGAACGAAAAGACAAGGAAUAAAAAGAGCAAAGAAGGGGCUGGGGAUUUAGCUCAGUGGUAGAGUGCUUACCUAGGAAGCGCAAGGCCCUGGGUUCGGUCCCCAGCUCCAAAAAAAAGAACCAAAA